rnacentral:rRNA from 1 species
AGUUUGAUCCUGGCUCAGGAUGAACGCUGGCGGCGUGCCUAAUACAUGCAAGUCGAGCGAACAGACGAGGAGCUUGCUCCUCUGACGUUAGCGGCGGACGGGUGAGUAACACGUGGAUAACCUACCUAUAAGACUGGGAUAACUUCGGGAAACCGGAGCUAAUACCGGAUAACAUGUUGAACCGCAUGGUUCAACAGUGAAAGACGGUCUUGCUGUCACUUAUAGAUGGAUCCGCGCCGCAUUAGCUAGUUGGUAAGGUAACGGCUUACCAAGGCAACGAUGCGUAGCCGACCUGAGAGGGUGAUCGGCCACACUGGAACUGAGACACGGUCCAGACUCCUACGGGAGGCAGCAGUAGGGAAUCUUCCGCAAUGGGCGAAAGCCUGACGGAGCAACGCCGCGUGAGUGAAGAAGGUCUUCGGAUCGUAAAACUCUGUUAUUAGGGAAGAACAAAUGUGUAAGUAACUAUGCACGUCUUGACGGUACCUAAUCAGAAAGCCACGGCUAACUACGUGCCAGCAGCCGCGGUAAUACGUAGGUGGCAAGCGUUAUCCGGAAUUAUUGGGCGUAAAGCGCGCGUAGGCGGUUUUUUAAGUCUGAUGUGAAAGCCCACGGCUCAACCGUGGAGGGUCAUUGGAAACUGGAAAACUUGAGUGCAGAAGAGGAAAGUGGAAUUCCAUGUGUAGCGGUGAAAUGCGCAGAGAUAUGGAGGAACACCAGUGGCGAAGCGACUUUCUGGUCUGUAACUGACGCUGAUGUGCGAAAGCGUGGGGAUCAAACAGGAUUAGAUACCCUGGUAGUCCACGCCGUAAACGAUGAGUGCUAAGUGUUAGGGGUUUCCGCCCCUUAGUGCUGCAGCUAACGCAUUAAGCACUCCGGCCUGGGGAGUACGACCGCAAGGUUGAAACUCAAAGGAAUUGAUGAAUCACUAGUGCGCGCUGCAGUCGA